rnacentral:lncRNA from 12 species
AAAAAUGCCAGAAUUGCUCUUAGUUCAUAUCUUGCAAUUUUGACUUUAGAACUCAUAAGUGCGAGUAUAUGUCACAGUUUUGAGAUAAAAGUCAGAAUUGCAAGUUUAUAUCAUGCAAUUCUGACAAAAAAGUCAGUAUUGCAAAUUUAUAUCUUACAAUUUUGACUUUAUAACUCGCAUCUGCAAGUUUAUAUCACAAUUCUGAGAAAAAAAGUCAAAAUUGCAAGGUUAUAUCCCAUAAUUCUGAGAAAUAAAGUCAGAAUUGUAAUAUAAAAAAAUCACAAUUACAAAACUGGCUUCCAUACAUCUGAGAGGAGGGGAUAUGAAGAAAUUAUUAGUGUGAAAUAAGUGAAGUUAGACAUUCUUAUGGCCAUUUGACAGUAAAAUAGCUUUCGGGGUGAAUGGCAGUUUUGUGACUUGAUGAGUAGCAUUUUAUGUCUGUUUGGCAUUUUCUCAUGUUCUCAGUAAACACGCUGCAAAGAUGAACUCAAUAUGAAUACAUUUUGUGUGGUCUUUUGGGGAAGAACUGAGUGAAAGAGACAAAUGAAACAACCAAAGGCGUUACAUAUACAAUGAGACAAUUAAAAAAAGACAUAAUAUCAUACAGCUAGACUGUCCUAUAAACAGUUUAAAAUGAGCAUACAAACAGCCCAAAGCGAGGUUAGUCCUUCCAUGUCCUUCCUCUCCUCUCUCUCCAGACAGUUGCUACAGGCUCAGCGAUUGGCAACAGCUGGUGAAUAGGGCCAUGACCACCUUCAUCACGGAAACAGCCAUGCAUAACCCUGAUCUAGAAGCUGGCUGGGAUCCUGACAAAGUCAUGCCACACAGAUCUGUCUGAUUCUAUAGACAUUUAUUUAUACCCUGACAACACUGGGCUGCUGAGGACUUUAUAAGAUCCUGUCUGGCUCAUGUUCCAACCCCCUGACCUCAGCAUUAGAUGAGAGGAUGCUGACUGGGACGCCCUUUGACUUUGACAGCCGGGGAUGUGACACCCAUAUGUGUGCAUGGAAUAAUGCUGACCUACUGGAUUUUUUACACACCAGAGCAGGCAUAUGUACUAUUUUGGGGGUUAAUAACAAUUGCAUCCUGCAAUGGAUCUGCAAAUCAGAAAACAUCUGGUUUGUGUACUCUGGGUCUGCACCCCUCUGAGGCAAGUAAGUAAAUUUAAUAUAAAACUGAUUUACACUGAGUUUGAAAAUUGAGUUUAGAUAACAAGGGGCAGAAGGCCUGGCUCCUAAAUGAAAGAAACCAAGAAACAUACAAUGGAGUAUGUCUGUAUAAGAAUAAUAAGCAAAUAUAUAUUCAAUUCAUAUAUAUAUAUAUAUAUCAUAUCAUACUAGUAACACCAUAACAAUAUAUAGUAACAUCAUAGGUUCAUAUUAGAGACAAUAGUAACUGCUGGGCACUUCUGGGUACAUGUUUAUUGUGAGAUUUUUGUGUUGUCAUAAAAAAUAUUUGCAAAAUAUACUUUUUUAAAUCUUUUUUUUUUUGCCUUGUUUUUCUGUAAAAUUACCUCUAAGCAACAAAAUUUAGGUCAAAGACACCCCUCCACAAUUAAACUUUAGUUAAGCUUCACAGUAAAUAUAUUCAUGUUUAAGGAUAUGGUUUAUGCAACCUGAUCUCAUGAGACCAGGUCACUUUUUUUUUGUUUGCUCUCCAGAGAUGACUAGAGGGCCACACUUGUGGAAAACUUUGAAUGUGUAACGUGGCAGUCAUGACACCGGAGUUCUGGAUGCAAAUGCUAGCUUUUUUUUUUUUUUUUUUAAAGUGUGGUCAGACAUACAGGGUAGAUCACCAGCAAACAAUAACAUCCAAGGAUAAUCCAAGAGAGAAAUCCAACGAAUAGGCAUAAGGUCAGGGCAGGCAGCAAACAAUCAAAACACGGAAACAGUCCAAGAUUAAACACACGUAGCCAAGGUAAGGAAACAAGGGAACACAGAAACUGGGAAAAUAUAACAGGCUUACAAUCAACAGCGAUGUGAGAGUGUGUGUGUACCAUUCUUAUAGUGAGACUAAUGAGGUAAUGAGAGACAGGUGACAGCAAUUUAUGAUGAGUGCAGGUGAGUCCGUGCAAAGGAUUGUGGGAAAUGGAGUCCUGGGUGAAUGGUAAAAGUCAGGGAUGAAGUGCCCACUGGUGGAGCUUAUGGGCACUCCAGCUGGUGAUCGUGACAGACCACUAGGGCAGAGCAGGUGGAGCUGAUGAGAACCGGAGGGGAGCUGAAGGCCACCAGAGCAUGGCAGAAGACCACAGUGAUGGAACAGGCGGGACUGGAACAAAGAACACAGAGAGGUUAACUGCGGCCUCUGCAUCUGUAACAGGACCAGCAGACAGUUCAGAAACGGCAUCUUUGACCUUAACAGGGUGAGCAGAGAGUUCAGGGGUAGUCCUUUUGACCAUGGCUGGACAGUCAGAGAGUGCAGAUGCAACCUCUUUGGUCAUUACAGGACAAACAGAGGGUUCGGGACCGGCCUUUUUGGCCAAGACAGGACGGUCAGAGAGUUCAUAGAUAGCCCUCGUGGCCAUGGCAGGGCUAGCUAGAAGUUCAAUGAUGGUCUCCUCGACCGGAACAGGAC